GCUUCCGUAGCUCAGUUGGUUAGAGCUUCGUACUAAUAGAACAUUAGUGAUGCGGAGGCCGCAGGUUCAAGCCCUGCCGGGAGCA
rnacentral:tRNA from 1 species